rnacentral:rRNA from 1 species
AGUGAACGCUGGCGGUAGGCCUAACACAUGCAAGUCGAACGGCAGCACAGAGGAGCUUGCUCCUUGGGUGGCGAGUGGCGGACGGGUGAGGAAUACAUCGGAAUCUACUCUGUCGUGGGGGAUAACGUAGGGAAACUUACGCUAAUACCGCAUACGACCUACGGGUGAAAGCAGGGGACCUUCGGGCCUUGCGCGAUUGAAUGAGCCGAUGUCGGAUUAGCUAGUUGGCGGGGUAAAGGCCCACCAAGGCGACGAUCCGUAGCUGGUCUGAGAGGAUGAUCAGCCACACUGGAACUGAGACACGGUCCAGACUCCUACGGGAGGCAGCAGUGGGGAAUAUUGGACAAUGGGCGCAAGCCUGAUCCAGCCAUACCGCGUGGGUGAAGAAGGCCUUCGGGUUGUAAAGCCCUUUUGUUGGGAAAGAAAUCCAGCCGGCUAAUACCCGGUUGGGAUGACGGUACCCAAAG